UGUGGCCCACACAUAGAAAAACUUACCUUGUAAGUCAAGGCAUGUGCCCUACAAAGUCAACACAUAUUGGAGGUCCUAUAGAACGUCGCCACGUAGCCCCUAGUUAGAGAGUAUAUAUAGAGACAAGAGUGAAGGCUUCUUCACUCUUGUCAACUCCUUUCUUGCUUCUAGUCUGUUUCAAGGGUCUCUAGUUUUCUUGUCUUUUGGCA
rnacentral:lncRNA from 1 species